rnacentral:rRNA from 1 species
UACGUAGGGUGCAAGCGUUGUCCGGAAUUAUUGGGCGUAAAGAGCUCGUAGGCGGUUUGUUGCGUCGGCUGUGAAAUCCCGAGGCUCAACCUCGGGUCUGCAGUCGAUACGAGCAAACUAGAGUGUUGCAGGGGAGACUGGAAUUCCUGGUGUAGCGGUGAAAUGCGCAGAUAUCAGGAGGAACACCGGUGGCGAAGGCGGCCUGCUGGGCAGUUGCUGACACUGGAGGCGCGACAGCGUGGGGAGCAAACAGG